UGGGGAAUAUUGGGCAAUGGGGGAAACCCUGACCCAGCAACGCCGCGUGAAGGAAGAAGGUUUUCGGAUCGUAAACUUCUAUCCUUGGUGAAGAGAAGAAGACGGUAGCCAAGAAGGAAGCCCCGGCUAACUACGUGCCAGCAGCCGCGGUAAUACGUAGGGGGCAAGCGUUGUUCGGAAUUACUGGGCGUAAAGCGCACGCAGGCGGCGUGACGCGUCAGAAGUGAAAUCCCCGGGCUCAACCUGGGAACUGCUUUUGAAACGGUCAUGCUUGAAUCAUGGAGAGGGUAGCGGAAUUCCGAGUGUAGAGGUGAAAUUCGUAGAUAUCGAGAAGAACACUCGUGGCGAAGGCGGGUUCCUGGACAUGUACUGACGCUGAGGUACGAAGGCUAGGGGAGCGAAAG
rnacentral:rRNA from 1 species